CCUACGGGCGGCAGCAGUGGGGAAUAUUGCACAAUGGGCGCAAGCCUGAUGCAGCCAUGCCGCGUGUGUGAAGAAGGCCUUCGGGUUGUAAAGCACUUUCAGCGGGGAGGAAGGCGGUGAGGUUAAUAACCUCAUCGAUUGACGUUACCCGCAGAAGAAGCACCGGCUAACUCCGUGCCAGCAGCCGCGGUAAUACGGAGGGUGCAAGCGUUAAUCGGAAUUACUGGGCGUAAAGCGCACGCAGGCGGUCUGUCAAGUCGGAUGUGAAGUCCCCGGGCUCAACCUGGGAACUGCAUUCGAAACUGGCAGGCUAGAGUCUUGUAGAGGGGGGUAGAAUUCCAGGUGUAGCGGUGAAAUGCGUAGAGAUCUGGAGGAAUACCGGUGGCGAAGGCGGCCCCCUGGACAAAGACUGGCGCUCAGGUGCGAAAGCGUGGGGAGCAAACAGGAUUAGAUACCCUUGUAGUC
rnacentral:rRNA from 1 species